rnacentral:rRNA from 1 species
AGUGAACGCUGGCGGUAGGCCUAACACAUGCAAGUCGAACGGCAGCACAGUAAGAGCUUGCUCUUACGGGUGGCGAGUGGCGGACGGGUGAGGAAUACAUCGGAAUCUACUUUUUCGUGGGGAUAACGUAGGGAAACUUACGCUAAUACCGCAUACGACCUACGGGUGAAGGCAGGGGAUCUUCGGACCUUGCGCGAUUGAAUGAGCCGAUGUCGGAUUAGCUAGUUGGCGGGGUAAAGGCCCACCAAGGCGACGAUCCGUAGCUGGUCUGAGAGGAUGAUCAGCCACACUGGAACUGAGACACGGUCCAGACUCCUACGGGAGGCAGCAGUGGGGAAUAUUGGACAAUGGGCGCAAGCCUGAUCCAGCCAUACCGCGUGGGUGAAGAAGGCCUUCGGGUUGUAAAGCCCUUUUGUUGGGAAAGAAAAGCAGCAGGUUAAUACCCCGCUGUUCUGACGGUACCCAAAGGAUAAGCACCGGCUAACUUCGUG